AUGGCCAACGGUUUAACAGGGGUUGAUCUUGCUCGCUGUUGGAUAUCAUGGAGCAUACUGCCUCUUAGUCUGCGCUUCGGUUUGAUGUGCCAGUAUACUGAUCAUGUUGAUGACCCACUGCGACACUCAAGACUCCGGCUCUCUGGUGAAGAAAUCACAGAGGCUGUGCGUAAGAUACUGAAUGAACCGGAACACAUCUACGCCAGAACCGGCCUGCUUCCCUUCUGUGCCACCAACAAACCGCCAGCUGGCGAUGAUCCGUUUUGGAGCAAAAAACUGCCGCAGGAGAAGCCAGAAAAACCAGACAAACCGGAAAGAGCAGCCCGGCAAAAGACUAAAGCUGUGAAGAAGACUGCCCAUAGGAAAAGAACCACCGCCUCUUCUAAUCCGGCUCCUAACGUUGAGGAUGACGUCGAAGCCAGCCACGCGGAUGUUGCCGAGGUAAUUAUUCUCUCUUCCGAUUCAGAAACCUUGCCUUCACAAAAAAUCCGUCAGGCAAACCGGAAAGUUAAAUUUUCUCAUCCUCUUGCUUAUUUGGAUCCUAAACUUCUUAUGAAGACCCAACAACACGAAGCUCGCCGCACCACCCGGCACAGCGGCCAGGUAGUUACCUCCGCCGGUUUACCGAACAGUCCGGUUCGGAAACGCCAUUCCGAGGUUACUUCCCACUCAUCUUCUGGCGAGUCAUCGGCUACUCAGCUCCCACCGCUCAAAAUGGUGUUUGGGCCAAACCUAGGCCAAGCAAGAAGGCCCGCCUAG
rnacentral:rRNA from 1 species